rnacentral:rRNA from 1 species
UGUGAACGCUGGCGGUAGGCCUAACACAUGCAAGUCGAACGGCAGCACAGUAAGAGCUUGCUCUUACGGGUGGCGAGUGGCGGACGGGUGAGGAAUACAUCGGAAUCUACUUUUUCGUGGGGGAUAACGUAGGGAAACUUACGCUAAUACCGCAUACGACCUACGGGUGAAAGCAGGGGAUCUUCGGACCUUGCGCGAUUGAAUGAGCCGAUGUCGGAUUAGCUAGUUGGCGGGGUAAAGGCCCACCAAGGCGACGCUCCGUAGCUGGUCUGAGAGGAUGAUCAGCCACACUGGAACUGAGACACGGUCCAGACUCCUACGGGAGGCAGCAGUGGGGAAUAUUGGACAAUGGGCGCAAGCCUGAUCCAGCCAUACCGCGUGGGUGAAGAAGGCCUUCUGGUUGUAAAGCCCUUUUGUUGGGAAAGAAAAGCAGCAGGUUAAUACCCCGCUGUUCUGACGGUACCCAAAGAAUAAGCACCGGCUAACUUCGUG